CCCUGUAAAGCUGAUGAGAUAUUAAAACAAGACAAAAACUGAAAACGAAAUGGAGUGGGGAGCUGGGUGUGUGUUGGUGAUCUUGAAACAAUAGCUUUUGAUGUUUCUGACACACCAUUUUGGAGGGUGCUUCUAACACUACCCACCUUCAUUCAUUCCUUCAUUCAUACGCUCAUGCAUUCAUUCAUUCAUUCCUGUGGUGCCUACUACAUGCCAGGCACCAUGAAGGGUCCACUUGUGAAUACAAAACAAUACAAAAAGGAGACCGACCUCCUGAAGCUUGGAUUAUAGAUGGGAAAAAACACAGUAAGUAAAGAAAUAAAUAAGCAAGAUUAUGACAGACUGUAAUACCUGCUAGGAAGGAAACAGAAUAAGCCAUGAGUUAGAAGAAAGGAAGUUGCUGCUGUGUGAGAAAUAAAUGGGCUGGAAGUGGCAAGAGCACCUGCAGAGAACUGAUAUGACGGUCCAGGACCAAGAUGACCAUGGGUGUUGGUUCAGGUGGGCAGCAAUGAGACGGAGAAAGGAGGACAGCUCCCGAAUGUACUCUGAGGCCAGUUAGCGGCUCACACCUGUAAUCCCAGCACUUUAGGAGGCCAAGGCAGAAGGACAGCAUGAGUCCGGGAGUCUGAGACCAGCCUGGGCAAUACAGUGAGACCCCAUGUCUACAAAAAAUACAAAUAAAAAUUAGCUAGACUGCUGCUUGAGCCCAGGAGUUGAGGUUACAGUGAGCUAUGAUUGUGCCACUGCACCCCAACCUGGGCAACAGAGCAAGACCCUGUCUCUUUCUUAAAAAAAGGAGAUAGAGCAGGGCGUGGUGGCUCACGCCUGUAAUCCCAACACUUCAGGAGGCUGAAGCGGGUGGAUCAUCUGAGGUCAGGAGUUCAAGACCAGCCUGGCCAACAUGGUGAGACACCAUCUCAACUAAAAAUACAAAAAAUUAGCCGGGCACGGUGGCAUGCACCUGUAAUCCCAGCUACUUGGGAGCCUGAGGCAAGAGAAUCGCUUCAACCUGGGAGGCGAAGGUUGCGGUGAGCCGAGAUCGUGCCACUGCACUCCAGCCUGGGAAACAAGAGUGAAACUCCAUCUCAAAAAAAAAAAAGAGAGAGAGAGAGAGCUAGAAACCUGAUAAACAGCAGUUGACACUGGCAAUGCAGAUCAAGUAGGAGAAGUAAUUGAUAUUCA
rnacentral:lncRNA from 10 species